rnacentral:miRNA from 1 species
UCGCCGGGCUCGUAGGUAGAAGC